rnacentral:rRNA from 1 species
AAUCAACGCUGGCGGCGUGCCUAACACAUGCAAGUCGAACGCGAAAGGGGCUUCGGCCCUGAGUAGAGUGGCAAACGGGUGAGUAACACGUGGGUGACCUGCCUUCGAGUGGGGGAUAACGUCCCGAAAGGGACGCUAAUACCGCAUGACAUCCUGCCUUUGGACAGGCGGAGAUCAAAGCUAGGGAUCGCAAGACCUGGCGCUUGAAGAGGGGCCCGCGCCUGAUUAGCUAGUGGCAGGGUAACGGCCUACCAAGGCAACGAUCAGUAGCCGGCCUGAGAGGGCGGACGGCCACACUGGGACUGAGACACGGCCCAGACUCCUACGGGAGGCAGCAGUGGGGAAUUGUUCGCAAUGGGCGCAAGCCUGACGACGCAACGCCGCGUGGAGGAUGAAGAUCUUCGGGUCGUAAACUCCUGUCGAGCGGGAAGAAUACCUGCCGGG